UUCUCGGAAUCCAGUACUCACAAGCGCAGGGCUCGAUCACAGCCGUCCACAGCUGUCUCCCUGGCCGCUCGAUCGCCCCACCCCGUCUGCUUCACAAAAACCUUAACCCCCACCACUCUCUUCUUUCUACCCGCUCCCCUCCCGCCGCCGCGCCGCCGACGCCGUUCUCAGGGGCCGGGCGCGGCACACGAGCAUGCCUAGCGCCUUCCACCCCCUCCGCCCUUCCCUCAAGCGCAAGUGCAAAUCCAAGCGCUCCAAGAGGCUCAGCGAAGCCAGGAGCCUCGCCGCCGCCGACGAUGCCGCCGGAGGUGGAGGCGGAGAUGCCUCCUUCGACCUGAAGAACUCCGCCUCCGCGUCAGCCGCUUCCGGAAUCGGCGGCGGAAGGGGUACCCUCGUCCAGCCGCUCGGGAACCUCCUCCUGGCCGCCGCCCGGCGCGCCAACCUUCGGGACGAGGGUCUCGGCGCGCUCCGCCCGCUCCCGGACGACCUCCUCCUCGACGUCCUCGGCCUCCUCCCGGCCCGCGACCUCGCCGCGCUCUCCGCGGCCUCCAAGGCGCUCUACGUCAUCUCCUCACACGACCCGCUCUGGCGGGCCGUCGUCCUCGCCGAGCUCGGCGGGGACUUCGCGUUCGCGGGCUCCUGGCGCGCCACCUACAUCUCCGCCGUGUCCGGCCGCGCCCAUCUUCCCCCGCGCGCCCUCGAGAUCGAGGGAUUCUACUCGGACUACCUUUUCCAGAGCUGGCUAUGCGCCAACAUGGAGAUGCGGACCGAGUGGCUCCAGCGGGACACCAUUGACCGCCGCCGCGGCUUGUCUCUGGAGAAAUUCAUCACUGAAUACGAGGAGCCCAACUGGCCGGUGCUGCUAGAGGGAUGCCUCGAGAACUGGCCAGCGUCGCAAAAAUGGACGCGUGAGUAUUUACUAGAAGUCUCGGCCGGGAAGGAGUUUGCAGUCGGUCCGGUGAGCAUGACAUUGGAUAAGUACUUCAUGUAUGCCGACAACGUGCAGGAGGAGAGGCCGCUGUACCUAUUUGAUGCGAAAUUCGCCGAGAAGGUUCCGGAGAUGGGGAGGGACUAUGAGGUGCCGGUGUACUUCCAGGAGGACCUGUUCAAGGUGCUCGGGGAGGAGAGGCCAGAUCAUCGCUGGGUUAUCAUUGGUCCGGCUGGAUCAGGUUCAUCCUUUCAUGUAGACCCUAACUCGACAUCAGCAUGGAAUGCUGUGAUCAAGGGGGCCAAGAAGUGGGUGAUGUUCCCACCAGAGGUGCCGCCACCAGGGGUCCACCCAAGCGCGGAUGGGGCAGAGGUCACUAGCCCUGUGUCUAUCAUGGAGUGGUUCAUGAACUUUUAUGGGGCAUGUAGGACCUGGGAGAAGAGGCCAGUUGAGUGUGUAUGCCGGGCUGGGGAGAUUGUUUUUGUGCCUAAUGGAUGGUGGCAUUUGGUUAUCAAUCUUGAAGAAUCUGUUGCCAUCACUCAGAAUUACGUGAGCAGGAGAAACCUGUUGAAUGUUCUUGACUUUCUCAAGAGGCCCAAUGCAAGUGAACUUGUGUCAGGGACCAAAGACAGAGUAAACCUGCAUGACAAGUUCCGGAAUGCCAUCGACACGGCUUACCCUGGAACUAUUAGUCGGCUUGAAGUUGAAGCUCAGGAGAAGGCUGCUGCUAGGAAGAAGAAAGUGGGAUUUUGGGAUAAUGCUGUUGAUGCCAACACUGGAGGAUUCAAGUUCACUUUCUAAUUUUCUUGCGCAGCCACAGAAAUCAGAUCCAAUUUUCACUGAGAACCCAGGGCAUAAACCACAGCUAAGCAGUCAGUUCUGACAAUGGCCGGCAUAGGAGCCCAGUCCCGAAGUAAACUACGCCUUCCUGCAUAGCCAAUUCUUGUGCUUCUUUAGCGCCGGCGCACGUCGGGAGGACCUUCCAGGCAGUGAGAAGGACCUCGCCCAAACAGUUACACACCACCACACCUGUGAACAUCCAUGUCAUCUCAACAUUGUCUUGCCCGCAUCACGGCCCGACUUGCACAUGGUUCUCUCUGGUCCACACCAACAGGGUUGGAUAACGGUGAAACAUACAAGCUCUUUUAUAUUCAUAAAGUUAGAACUCAUCCAGUUUACAUCGUUACAACAUGUGCUUCCUCCGUC